rnacentral:misc_RNA from 1 species
GAUGAAGAACGUAGUGAAAUGCGAUAAGUAAUGUGAAUUGCAGAAUUCAGUGAAUCAUCGAAUCUUUGAACGCAUCUUGCGCUCCUUGGUAUUCCGAGGAGCAUGCCUGUUUGAGUGUCAUUAAAGUUCUCAACCACAUUACUAGAUAUGUGGCUUGGAUGUGGGGGUUUGCAGGCUUUCUCUGAGGGUCUGCUCCUCUGAAAUGCAUUAGUGGUAUUCCUGAGCUUUACUACAGAUGUGAUAAUUUAUCUACAUCCCAAAAGUAUGCUUCAGCAACACCCUCCUAACAAGCGAAAGCACAUUUUGAUGAAUUUGACCUCAAAUCAGGUAGGACUACCCGCUGAACUUAAGCAUAUCAAUAAGCGGAGGA